GGAAGUAAAAGACGUAACAAGGUCUCCGUAGGUGAACCUGCGGAGGGAUCAUUACAGAGUUCAUGCCCUACCGGGUAGAUCUCCCACCCUAUGUUAUUAUUACUUUGUUGCUUUGGCGGGCCGUUAGGCUCCGGCCCGACUACCGGCCCCGGCUGGUAAGCGCCCGCCAGAGGACCCAAAACCCUGAAUAUUAGUGUCGUCUGAGUACUAUAUAAUAGUUAAAACUUUCAACAACGGAUCUCUUGGUUCUG
rnacentral:misc_RNA from 1 species